UACGUAGGGGGCGAGCGUUGUCCGGAUUUAUUGGGCGUAAAGAGCUCGUAGGCGGUUUGGUAAGUUGGAUGUGAAAUCUCCAGGCUCAACUUGGAGGGGUCAUUCGAUACUGCCAUGACUAGAGUUCGGUAGGGGAGUGUGGAAUUCCUAGUGGAGCGGUGAAAUGCGCAGAUAUCAGGAGGAACACCCGUAGCGAAGGCGGCACUCUGGGCCGGAACUGACGCUGAGGAGCGAAAGCGUGGGGAGCGAACAGG
rnacentral:rRNA from 1 species